CCUACGGCGUGCAGCAGUGGGGAAUAUUGGACAAUGGGCGAAAGCCUGAUCCAGCCAUGCCGCGUGUGUGAAGAAGGCCUUCGGGUUGUAAAGCACUUUCAGUGGGGAAGAAAGCCUUGGGGCUAAUACCCUCGAGGAAGGACAUCACCCACAGAAGAAGCACCGGCUAACUCCGUGCCAGCAGCCGCGGUAAUACGGAGGGUGCGAGCGUUAAUCGGAAUUACUGGGCGUAAAGCGCGCGUAGGCGGUCUGAUAAGCCGGUUGUGAAAGCCCCGGGCUCAACCUGGGAACGGCAUCCGGAACUGUCAGGCUAGAGUGCAGGAGAGGAAGGUAGAAUUCCCGGUGUAGCGGUGAAAUGCGUAGAGAUCGGGAGGAAUACCAGUGGCGAAGGCGGCCUUCUGGACUGACACUGACGCUGAGGUGCGAAAGCGUGGGUAGCAAACAGGAUUAGAUACCCCAUAGUC
rnacentral:rRNA from 1 species